rnacentral:rRNA from 1 species
GACGAACGCUGGCGGCGUGCCUAAUACAUGCAAGUAGAACGCUGAAGCGAGGAGCUUGCUCUUCUUGGAUGAGUUGCGAACGGGUGAGUAACGCGUAGGUAACCUGCCUUGUAGCGGGGGAUAACUAUUGGAAACGAUAGCUAAUACCGCAUAACAAUGGAUGACACAUGUCAUUUAUUUGAAAGGGGCAAUUGCUCCACUACAAGAUGGACCUGCGUUGUAUUAGCUAGUAGGUGAGGUAACGGCUCACCUAGGCGACGAUACAUAGCCGACCUGAGAGGGUGAUCGGCCACACUGGGACUGAGACACGGCCCAGACUCCUACGGGAGGCAGCAGUAGGGAAUCUUCGGCAAUGGGGGCAACCCUGACCGAGCAACGCCGCGGGAGUGAAGAAGGGUUUCGGAUCGUAAAGCUCUGUUGUAAGUCAAGAACGAGUGUGAGAGUGGAAAGUUCACACUGUGACGGUAGCUUACCAGAAAGGGACGGCUAACUACGUG